AGGAAAGGAGAAAGCCUCAGAAAGAAUGCUAAAGAAAAUGGAGGCAAGUCAACUAUCAGAUAUGGAAUACAAAGCAAUGUUUAUCAGGAAGCUCACUGAGCUCACAGAUCUCAAAGACAACUAAC